UACAGAGGUCCCGAGCGUUGUUCGGAUUUAUUGGGCGUAAAGGGUGCGUAGGCGGCGGAGUAAGUUGGGUGUGAAAUCCCCGGGGGCUCAACCUCGGAAUUGCAUUCAAUACUGCUUCGCUCGAGUACUGGAGAGGAGGCUGGAAUUUACGGUGUAGCAGUGAAAUGCGUAGAUAUCGUAAGGAAGGCCGGUGGCGAAAGCGAGCCUCUGGACAGUUACUGACGCUGAUGCACGAAGGCCAGGGGAGCAAACGGG
rnacentral:rRNA from 1 species